GACGAACGCUGGCGGCGUGCUUAACACAUGCAAGUCGAACGGAAAGGCCCUGCUUGCAGGGUACUCGAGUGGCGAACGGGUGAGUAACACGUGGGUGAUCUGCCCUGCACUUCGGGAUAAGCUUGGGAAACUAGGUCUAAUACCGGAUAGGAGCCAUCUUUAGUGUGGUGGUUGGAAAGUUUUUUCGGUGUAGGAUGAGCUCGCGGCCUAUCAGCUUGUUGGUGGGGUAAUGGCCUACCAAGGCGGCGACGGGUAGCCGGCCUGAGAGGGUGUACGGCCACAUUGGGACUGAGAUACGGCCCAGACUCCUACGGGAGGCAGCAGUGGGGAAUAUUGCACAAUGGGCGCAAGCCUGAUGCAGCGACGCCGCGUGGGGGAUGAAGGCCUUCGGGUUGUAAACUCCUUUCGCUAGGGACGAAGCUUUUUGUGACGGUACCUAGAGAAGAAGCACCGGCUAACUACGU
rnacentral:rRNA from 1 species